UUAAGCGACUAAGCGUACACGGUGGAUGCCCUGGCAGUCAGAGGCGAUGAAGGACGUGCUAAUCUGCGAUAAGCGUCGGUAAGGUGAUAUGAACCGUUAUAACCGGCGAUUUCCGAAUGGGGAAACCCAGUGUGUUUCGACACACUAUCAUUAACUGAAUCCAUAGGUUAAUGAGGCGAACCGGGGGAACUGAAACAUCUAAGUACCCCGAGGAAAAGAAAUCAACCGAGAUUCCCCCAGUAGCGGCGAGCGAACGGGGAGCAGCCCAGAGCCUGAAUCAGUGUGUGUGUUAGUGGAAGCGUCUGGAAAGGCGCGCGAUACAGGGUGACAGCCCCGUACACAAAAAUGCACAUGCUGUGAGCUCGAUGAGUAGGGCGGGACACGUGGUAUCCUGUCUGAAUAUGGGGGGACCAUCCUCCAAGGCUAAAUACUCCUGACUGACCGAUAGUGAACCAGUACCGUGAGGGAAAGGCGAAAAGAACCCCGGCGAGGGGAGUGAAAAAGAACCUGAAACCGUGUACGUACAAGCAGUGGGAGCACGCUUAGGCGUGUGACUGCGUACCUUUUGUAUAAUGGGUCAGCGACUUAUAUUCUGUAGCAAGGUUAACCGAAUAGGGGAGCCGAAGGGAAACCGAGUCUUAACUGGGCGUUAAGUUGCAGGGUAUAGACCCGAAACCCGGUGAUCUAGCCAUGGGCAGGUUGAAGGUUGGGUAACACUAACUGGAGGACCGAACCGACUAAUGUUGAAAAAUUAGCGGAUGACUUGUGGCUGGGGGUGAAAGGCCAAUCAAACCGGGAGAUAGCUGGUUCUCCCCGAAAGCUAUUUAGGUAGCGCCUCGUGAAUUCAUCUCCGGGGGUAGAGCACUGUUUCGGCAAGGGGGUCAUCCCGACUUACCAACCCGAUGCAAACUGCGAAUACCGGAGAAUGUUAUCACGGGAGACACACGGCGGGUGCUAACGUCCGUCGUGAAGAGGGAAACAACCCAGACCGCCAGCUAAGGUCCCAAAGUCAUGGUUAAGUGGGAAACGAUGUGGGAAGGCCCAGACAGCCAGGAUGUUGGCUUAGAAGCAGCCAUCAUUUAAAGAAAGCGUAAUAGCUCACUGGUCGAGUCGGCCUGCGCGGAAGAUGUAACGGGGCUAAACCAUGCACCGAAGCUGCGGCAGCGACGCUGAUGCGUUGUUGGGUAGGGGAGCGUUCUGUAAGCCUGCGAAGGUGUGCUGUGAGGCAUGCUGGAGGUAUCAGAAGUGCGAAUGCUGACAUAAGUAACGAUAAAGCGGGUGAAAAGCCCGCUCGCCGGAAGACCAAGGGUUCCUGUCCAACGUUAAUCGGGGCAGGGUGAGUCGACCCUAAGGCGAGGCCGAAAGGCGUAGUCGAUGGGAAACAGGUUAAUAUUCCUGUACUUGGUGUUACUGCGAAGGGGACGGAGAAGGCUAUGUUGGCCGGGCGACGGUUGUCCCGGUUUAAGCGUGUAGGCUGGUUUUCCGUGCAAAUCCGGAAAAUCAAGGCUGAGGCGUGAUGACGAGGCACUACGGUGCUGAAGCAACAAAUGCCCUGCUUCCGUGAAAAGCCUCUAAGCAUCAGGUAACAUCAAAUCGUACCCCAAACCGACACAGGUGGUCAGGUAGAGAAUACCAAGGCGCUUGAGAGAACUCGGGUGAAGGAACUAGGCAAAAUGGUGCCGUAACUUCGGGAGAAGGCACGCUGAUAUGUAGGUGAGGUCCCUCGCGGAUGGAGCUGAAAUCAGUCGAAGAUACCAGCUGGCUGCAACUGUUUAUUAAAACACAGCACUGUGCAAACACGAAAGUGGACGUAUACGGUGUGACGCCUGCCCGGUGCCGGAAGGUUAAUUGAUGGGGUUAGCGCAAGCGAAGCUCUUGAUCGAAGCCCGGUAAACGGCGGCCGUAACUAUAACGGUCCUAAGGUAGCGAAAUUCCUUGUCGGGUAAGUUCCGACCUGCACGAAUGGCGUAAUGAUGGCGGCUGUCUCCACCCGAGACUCAGUGAAAUUGAACUCGCUGUGAAGAUGCAGUGUACCCGCGGCAAGACGGAAAGACCCCGUGAACCUUUACUAUAGCUUGACACUGAACAUUGAGCCUUGAUGUAGGAUAGGUGGGAGGCUUAGAAGUGUGGACGCCAGUCUGCAUGGAGCCGACCUUGAAAUACCACCCUUUAAUGUUUGAUGUUCUAACGUUGACCCGUAAUCCGGGUUGCGGACAGUGUCUGGUGGGUAGUUUGACUGGGGCGGUCUCCUCCUAAAGAGUAACGGAGGAGCACGAAGGUUGGCUAAUCUCGGUCGGACAUCAGGAGGUUAGUGCAAUGGCAUAAGCCAGCUUGACUGCGAGCGUGACGGCGCGAGCAGGUGCGAAAGCAGGUCAUAGUGAUCCGGUGGUUCUGAAUGGAAGGGCCAUCGCUCAACGGAUAAAAGGUACCCGGGGAUAACAGGCUGAUACCGCCCAAGAGUUCAUAUCGACGGCGGUGUUUGGCACCUCGAUGUCGGCUCAUCACAUCCGGGCUGAAGUAGGUCCCAAGGGUAUGGCUGUUCGCCAUUUAAAGUGGUACGCGAGCUGGGUUUAGAACGUCGUGAGACAGUUCGGUCCCUAUCUGCCGUGGGCGCUGGAGAACUGAGGGGCUGCUCCUAGUACGAGAGGACCGGAGUGGACGCAUCACUGGUGUUCGGGUUGUCAUGCCAAUGGCACUGCCCGGUAGCUAAAUGCGGAAGAGAUAAGUGCUGAAAGCAUCUAAGCACGAAACUUGCCCCGAGAUGAGUUCUCCCUGACUCCUUGAGAGUCCUGAAGGAACGUUGAAGACGACGACGUUGAUAGGCCGGGUGUGUAAGCGCAGCGAUGCGUUGAGCUAACCGGUACUAAUGAACCGUGAGGCUUAACCU
rnacentral:rRNA from 1 species